UCGUACAAGGUUUCCGUAGGUGAACCUGCGGAAGGAUCAUUGUCG
rnacentral:rRNA from 1 species